AGCAGCCGCGGUAAUUCCAGCUCCAAUAGCGUAUAUUAAAGUUGUUGCAGUUAAAAAGCUCGUAGUUGAAUUUCGGGGUUCUACCGUUGGUCGGGCUUUGUCUGUACUGGCGUGUAGAAUUUCUACCUUCUGGGGAACCAUCAUGUUAUUAAUUUAGUGUGGUGGGAAACCAGGACCUUUACCUUGAGAAAAUUAGAGUGUUCAAAGCAGGCUUAUGUCUGAAUACAUUAGCAUGGAAUAAUAGAAUAGGACGGUGGUCCUGUUUUGUUGGUUUCUGAAUCACCGUAAUGAUUAAUAGGGAUAGUUGGGGGCAUUAGUAUUCAAUUGUCAGAGGUGAAAUUCUUGGAUUUAUUGAAGACUAACUUCUGCGAAAGCAUUUGCCAAGGAUGUUUUCAUUAAUCAAGAACGAAAGUUAGGGGAUCGAAGACGAUCAGAUACCGUCGUAGUCUUAACCAUAAACUAUGCCGACUAGGGAUCGGGAUGAUGUUGAUUUUAUAAUGACUCAUUCGGCACCUUACGGGAAACCU
rnacentral:rRNA from 1 species